AUUGAACGCUGGCGGCAGGCCUAACACAUGCAAGUCGAGCGGAUGAAGGGAGCUUGCUCCUGGAUUCAGCGGCGGACGGGUGAGUAAUGCCUAGGAAUCUGCCUGGUAGUGGGGGAUAACGUCCGGAAACGGGCGCUAAUACCGCAUACGUCCUGAUGGAGAAAGUGGGGGAUCUUCGGACCUCACGCUAUCAGAUGAGCCUAGGUCGGAUUAGCUAGUUGGUGGGGUAAAGGCCUACCAAGGCGACGAUCCGUAACUGGUCUGAGAGGAUGAUCAGUCACACUGGGACUGAGACACGGUCCAGACUCCUACGGGAGGGAGCAGUCGGGAAUAGUGGACAAUGGGCGAAAGCCUGACCCAGCCAUGCCGCGUGUGUGAAGAAGGUCUUCGGAUCGUAAAGCACUUUAAGUGGGGAGGAAGGGCAGUAAGUUAAUACCUUGCUGUUUUGACGUUACCAACAGAAUAAGCACCGGCUAACUUCGUG
rnacentral:rRNA from 1 species